rnacentral:tRNA from 1 species
GUCUUCGUGGCUCAGUUGGUUAGAGCGUUGGUCUCAUAUCACGUAUUGACAUGACGACAUCAUCGAUGUCGCGACAUCCAAAGGUCGCGAGUUCGAGUCUCGCCGAGGACA